rnacentral:rRNA from 1 species
UGCAGUCGACGACCUUCGGGUUAGUGGCGGACGGGUGAGUAACGCGUGAGAAUCUGCCCUCAGGAGGGGGAUAACAGUUGGAAACGACUGCUAAUACCCCAUAUGCCGAGAGGUGAAACGAAUUUUGCCUGGGGAUGAGCUCGCGUCUGAUUAGCUUGUUGGUGGGGUAAAAGCCUACCAAGGCUUCGAUCAGUAGCUGGUCUGAGAGGACGAUCAGCCACACUGGGACUGAGAUACGGCCCAGACUCCUACGGGAGGCAGCAGUGGGGAAUUUUCCGCAAUGGGCGCAAGCCUGACGGAGCAACGCCGCGUGAGGGAUGAAGGCCUUUGGGCUGUAAACCUCUUUUCUCAAGGAAGAAGAUCUGACGGUACUUGAGGAAUAAGCCACGGCUAAUUCCGUGCCAGCAGCCGCGGUAAUACGGGAGUGGCAAGCGUUAUCCGGAAUUAUUGGGCGUAAAGCGUCCGCAGGCGGCCGUUUAAGUCUGUUGUUAAAUCGUGGAGCUCAACUCCAUCACGGCAAUGGAAACUGUUCGGCUUGAGUAUGGUAGGGGCAGAGGGAAUUUCCGGUGUAGCGGUGAAAUGCGUAGAUAUCGGGAAGAACACCAGUGGCAAAAGCGCUCUGCUGGGCCAUUACUGACGCUCAUGGACGAAAGCCAGGGGAGCGAAAGGGAUUAGAUACCCCUGUAGUCCUGGCCGUAAACGAUGAACACUAGAUGUUGGGGGAAUCGACCCC